rnacentral:tRNA from 1 species
GAGCGGUGUCAGAACGGGCUCGAACGGACUUUUAAUCUGUAGGUCCUGGGUUCGAGUCCCAGCGCGCUCACCA